rnacentral:sRNA from 1 species
AGUGCUUCUGGGCAGUAGAGGCGCGGGGUGCGGAGCUAGGGCGGCCGAGAGCCAUGGCGGCGGUAGUGGCGGCGGCGGCAGCGCGAGCCCGGAUCCUGCAGGUUUCUUCCAAGGUGAAAUCCAAUUCCACCUGGUAUUCAGCAUCUUCCUUCUCUUCUUCAGUGCCAACUGUAAAGCUCUUCAUUGAUGGGAAAUUUGUUGAAUCCAAAAGUGACAAAUGGAUUGAUAUCCACAACCCAGCCACCAAUGAGGUCAUUGGUCGGGUCCCUCAGGCCACCAAGGCAGAAAUGGAUGCAGCCAUUGCUUCCUGCAAACGUGCUUUUCCUGCAUGGGCAGACACUUCAGUAUUAAGCCGCCAGCAGGUCUUGCUCCGCUAUCAACAACUUAUUAAAGAAAACUUGGUAUGAAAUCUGAAUGGUAUGCUUUUCCAAACUGUCACCUAGGGCAUGUUUGUCACUCUCACAGAGACCUUUUCAGCCACCCUCCCUUACUCUGCAGUAUGCAGAGAUGUUGAUCAUGGCUCUCUCCCUUGUACUGCAUCUCCUCCAGUCUUAUUCUUCCUUGGCUACCUCAGAAUUUAAAAGAGGAACAUUCUUGCAUUAAUUUCUAUUUGUGUGUCUUCUCUCUAGAAAGAAAUUGCCAAGUUAAUCACAUUGGAACAAGGGAAGACCCUAGCUGAUGCUGAAGGAGAUGUAUUUCGAGGCCUUCGUAAGCUGGGAGCCCCUU